UACGUAGGGGGCAAGCGUUUGUCCGGAAUCAUUGGGCGUAAAGAGCGCGUAGGCGGCCCAGUAAGUCCGCUCUGAAAGUCAGGGGCUCAACCCCUGAAUGCGGGUGGAUACUGCUGGGCUAGAGUCCGGAAGAGGCGAGUGGAAUUCCUGGUGUAGCGGUGAAAUGCGCAGAUAUCAGGAGGAACACCGAUGGCGAAAGGCAGCUC
rnacentral:rRNA from 1 species